rnacentral:rRNA from 1 species
GCUGGCUACAGGCUUAACACAUGCAAGUCGAGGGGCUUCAUGCCGGUUGCUUGCAACCGGUGAUGGCGACCGGCGCACGGGUGAGUAACGCGUAUCCAACCUUCCCGCGACCAAGGGAUAACCUGCCGAAAGGCAGACUAAUACCUUAUGUCCUCCUUUGAAGGCAUCCGACGAGGAGCAAAGAUCCGUCGGUCACGGAUGGGGAUGCGUCCGAUUAGCUUGUUGGCGGGGCAACGGCCCACCAAGGCUUCGAUCGGUAGGGGUUCUGAGAGGAAGGCCCCCCACACUGGAACUGAGACACGGUCCAGACUCCUACGGGAGGCAGCAGUGAGGAAUAUUGGUCAAUGGGCGGAAGCCUGAACCAGCCAAGUAGCGUGCAGGAUGACGGCUCUACGGGUUGUAAACUGCUUUUAUGCGGGGAUAAAGUUGCCCACGUGUGGGUUUUUGCAGGUACCGCAUGAAUAAGGACCGGCUAAUUCCGUGCCAGCAGCCGCGGUAAUACGGAAGGUCCGGGCGUUAUCCGGAUUUAUUGGGUUUAAAGGGAGCGCAGGCCGCCGUGCAAGCGUGCCGUGAAAAGCAGCGGCCCAACCGCUGCCCUGCGGCGCGAACUGCGUGGCUUGAGUGCGCCGGAAGCGGGCGGAAUUCGUGGUGUAGCGGUGAAAUGCUUAGAUAUCACGAAGAACCCCGAUUGCGAAGGCAGCCCGCUGUGGCGCCACUGACGCUGAGGCUCGAAGGUGCGGGUAUCGAACAGGAUUAGAUACCCUGGUAGUCCGCACGGUAAACGAUGGAUACCCGCUGUCCGGCCCGUAUGGUCUGGGCGGCCAAGCGAAAGCGUUAAGUAUUCCACCUGGGGAGUACGCCGGCAACGGUGAAACUCAAAGGAAUUGACGGGGGCCCGCACAAGCGGAGGAACAUGUGGUUUAAUUCGAUGAUACGCGAGGAACCUUACCCGGGCUUGAAUUGCAGAUGCAUUACUGUGAGAGCCGUAAGUCGCUAGGCAUCUGUGAAGG